rnacentral:rRNA from 1 species
UAGUACCGUGAGGGAAUGGUGAAAAGUACCCCGGGAGGGGAGUGAAAUAGUUCCUGAAACCAUGUGCUUACAAUCCGUCAGAGCACUUUUUAUUGUGUGAUGGCGUGCCUUUUGAAGAAUGAGCCUGCGAGUCAGCGGCAUGUCGCGAGGUUAACCCGUGUGGGGUAGUCGUAGGGAAACCGAAUCCUAAUGGGGUGGUAAGUGGCAUGUCCUGGACCCGAAGCGGGGUGAUCUACCCAUGGCCAGUGUGAAGCAGCUGUAAGAGGUUGUGGAGGCGCGAACCCACGUAGGUUGAAAACUGCGGGGAUGAGCUGUGGGUAGGGGUGAAAGGCCAAUCAAACUCCGUGAUAGCUGGUUCUCCCCGAAAUGCAUUUAGGUGCAGCGUCGUAUGAGCUUGGUGGAGGUAGAGCGACUGGUUGGUUGAGCGGGACUACAAUCUUAGCAAUGUCAGCCAAACUCCGAAUGCCAUCAAUUGUGUUGUGCGGCAGUGAGACUGUGGGGGAUAAGCUUCAUAGUCGAGAGGGAAACAGCCCAGAUCGCCGGUUAAGGCCCCUAAGGGUGUACUAAGUGGAAAAGGAUGUGGGAUCGCGAAGACAGCCAGGAGGUUGGCUUAGAAGCAGCCAUCCUUGAAAGAGUGCGUAAUAGCUCACUGGUCGAGUGGUUCUGCGCCGACAAUGUAGUGGGGCUCAAGUACACCGCCGAAGCCGCGGCAACUUUUUAGUUGGGUAGGGGAGCGUCGUGCAUGAGGUGAAGCAUGAGUGUGAACACGUGUGGAUUGUGUGCGAGUGAGAAUGCAGGCAUGAGUAACGAAUUGUAAGGUGAGAAUCCUUACCGCCGGAUGACUAAGGGUUCCUGGGUCAAGUUCGUCUUCCCAGGGUGAGUCGGGACCUAAGGCGAGGCCGACAGGCGUAGUCGAUGGAUAACCAGUUGAUAUUCUGGUACCCGUACAUGUGCGCCCAUGAUAAAGCACGGAUACUAACCACUGCGGAUAUGCUACCUGUUCACUUUUUUGGUGUUGGUGGUGUUGAUGUCGUGGGGCCUGAUGUGUGGUUCAAGUGAUGGGGUGACGCAGUGAGGUAGCCGCGCCACUUAGUGGAUUGGUGGUGUAAGCGUGUAGGCCGUGUGGUAGGUAAAUCCGCUACACAUGUGGUUGAGGCGUGAUGCGUAGACCCAGUGGGGUUGAUGGUGGUGAUCCUGUACUGUCGAGAAAAGCCUCUAGCGAGUGUGUGUAUGGCCCGUACCCUAAACCGACACAGGUGGUCAGGUUGAAGAUACUAAGGCGUUCGGGUGAACUGUGGUUAAGGAAUUCGGCAAAAUGCCCCCGUAACUUCGGGAGAAGGGGGGCCCUGUGACGUGAAGACCCUUGCGGUUGGAGUGUUGUGGGGUCGCAGAGAAUAGAGGGAAGCGACUGUUUAUCAAAAACACAGGUCCAUGCGAAGACGUUAAGUUGAUGUAUAUGGACUGACGCCUGCCCGGUGCUGGAAGGUUAAGAGGACCGGUUAGUAACCUUUGUGGUUGCGAAGCUGAGAAUUUAAGCCCCAGUAAACGGCGGUGGUAACUAUAACCAUCCUAAGGUAGCGAAAUUCCUUGUCGGGUAAGUUCCGACCUGCACGAAUGGCGUAACGACUUCUCUGCUGUCUCGACCACAGGCCCGGUGAAAUUGCAUUACGAGUAAAGAUGCUCGUUACGCGCGGCAGGACGAAAAGACCCCGGGACCUUCACUAUAGCUUGGUAUUGGUGUUUGGUUCGGUUUGUGUAGGAUAGGUGGGAGACUGUGAAAUCAUCACGCUAGUGGUGGUGGAGUCGUUGUUGAAAUACCACUCUGAUCGGAUUGAGCAUCUAACCUUGGCCCAUGAUCUGGGUUGGGGACAGUGCCUGGUGGGUAGUUUAACUGGGGCGGUUGCCUCCCAAAAUGUAACGGAGGCGCCCAAAGGUUCCCUCAGCCUGGUUGGCAAUCAGGUGGUGAGUGUAAGUGCACAAGGGAGCUUGACUGUGAGACAGACAUGUCGAGCAGGGACGAAAGUCGGGACUAGUGAUCCGGCACCUACUUGUGGAUGUGGUGUCGCUCAACGGAUAAAAGGUACCCCGGGGAUAACAGGCUGAUCUUCCCCAAGAGUCCAUAUCGACGGGAUGGUUUGGCACCUCGAUGUCGGCUCGUCGCAUCCUGGGGCUGGAGUAGGUCCCAAGGGUUGGGCUGUUCGCCCAUUAAAGCGGCACGCGAGCUGGGUUCAGAACGUCGUGAGACAGUUCGGUCUCUAUCCGCCGCGCGCGU